UACAGAGGUGGCAAGCGUUGUUCGGAAUUACUGGGCGUAAAGGGCGCGUAGGCGGCCUACUAAGUCAGACGUGAAAUCCCCCGGCUUAACCUGGGAACUGCGUCUGAUACUGGAAGGCUUGAGGAUGGGAGAGGGAUGUAGAGUUCCAGGUGUAGCGGUGAAAUGCGUAGAUAUCUGGAGGAAUACCGGUGGCGAAGGCGGCAUCCUGGACCAUUACUGACGCUGAGGCGCGAAAGCUAGGGGAGCAAACGGG
rnacentral:rRNA from 1 species